AGUGAACGCUGGCGGCGUGCUUAACACAUGCAAGUCGAACGAGAACGGGUUAUAGCUUGCUAUAAUUGUCAGCUAAGUGGCGCACGGGUGAGUAAUGUAUAGGUAAUAUGCCUCUUACUAAGGGAUAACAAAUGGAAACGUUUGCUAAUACCUUAUACUCCUUAUUAACAGAAGUUAAUAAGGGAAAGAUUUAUUGGUAAGAGAUUAGCCUGUAUUGUAUCAGUUAGUUGGUGGGGUAAUGGCUUACCAAGACUAUGACACAUAACUGGUUUGAGAGGAUGAGCAGUAACACUGGAACUGAGACACGGUCCAGACUCCUACGGGAGGCAGCAGUGGGGAAUAUUGCACAAUGGACGAAAGUCUGAUGCAGCAACGCCGCGUGGAGGAUGACACAUUUCGGUGCGUAAACUCCUUUUAUAUGAGAAGAUAAUGACGGUAUUAUAUGAAUAAGCACCGGCUAACUCCGUGCCAGCAGCCGCCGUAACAC
rnacentral:rRNA from 1 species